CGAAAGGCGUAGUCGAUGGGAACACUGUUAAUAUUCAGUGGCCUGGUGGUAGUGACGGAUCCUAAACGUUGUCAUUCCUUAUUGGAUUGGAGUGGCCGCUAAGGGGUUCCAGGAAAUAGCUCCACCGCUAUAGACCGUACCCUAAACCGACACAGGUGGACAGGUAGAGAAUACCAAGGCGCUUGAGAGAACUCGGGUGAAGGAACUAGGCAAAAUCGUACCGUAACUUCGGGAGAAGGUACGCUCCUAUCUGUGAUGAGACUUGCUCUCUAAGCGGUUCGGGGUCGAAGAUACUAGGUGGCUGCGACUGUUUAUUAAAAACACAGCACUCUGCAAACACGAAAGUGGACGUAUAGGGUGUGACGCCUGCCCGGUGCCGGAAGGUUAAUGGAUGGGGUUAUCUUCGGAGAAGCUCUUGAUCGAAGCCCCGGUAAACGGCGGCCGUAACAAUAACGGUCCUAAGG
rnacentral:rRNA from 14 species